ensembl:snoRNA LOC120093478 small nucleolar RNA SNORA76
ACACUACCUUUGAGCCCCCGGCGCAACUUCUUGUGGUGCCGGGGGUUAGGCUGUGGUGCUAUAGCACUUUGCUGGCACAUAACUGGGGCUGCCUGCCCUUCUCCCCGAGCUGAAAUG